rnacentral:rRNA from 1 species
AUUGAACGCUGGCGGCAGGCCUAACACAUGCAAGUCGAACGAGAGGCGGACGGGUGAGUAAUGUAUGGGGACCUGCCUGAUGGAGGGGGAUAACUACUGGAAACGGUAGCUAAUACCGCAUACCAUCAGAUGUACCCAUAUGGGAUUAGCUUGUAGGUGAGGUAACGGCUCACCUAGGCGACGAUCCCUAGCUGGUCUGAGAGGAUGAUCAGCCACACUGGGACUGAGACACGGCCCAGACUCCUACGGGAGGCAGCAGUGGGGAAUAUUGCGCAAUGGGCGAAAGCCUGAUGGAGCCAGGCCGCGUGGAUGAAGAAGGCCUUCGGGUUGUAAAAUACUUUCAGUCGGGAGGCGGUACCGACAGAAGAAGCCACGGCUAACUCCGUGCCAGCAGCCGCGGUAAUUC